rnacentral:sRNA from 3 species
GUUCGGUGGAAACGAGAAUAAAGCGUGAAGGAUAACGUUGCGUCAGCAACGGCCCGUAGGGCGAGGCGAAGCCGAGUCAUCCUGCACGACCCACCA